AAUAGCUAAUAAAAUACCUAAAAUAGAAUUAAACGGAAGCGGUAACUAUGACCGCUAAUAAUGUAGCGUAAUCAUUAGCCAUUUAAUUGGUGGAUAGUAUGAAAGGAUAAACGAAUAUUUCACUGUCUUAAAAAGAAAUCAUUUAAAAUUGGAAUAAUAGUGAAGAUACUAUUUAAAAUUGUAAGACGAAAAGACCCUAUAGAGCUUAACUAUAAACUUUAUAAUCUUUCAUAAAGUUUGGUAGUUUAGUUGGGGCGACUGUUUUUUAAAAAUAACAAAAACAAACAAUAUUAAUCAAAUAAUUUAUUAUAUAAUUUAUAAAUUUAAUAAUUACUAAAGUAGGUGAUAAUGACCCGUUGUUUCUUAAUAAAUCAGAACAACGUUUAAUAAAUAAAAGCUACCUUAGGGAUAACAGGAUAAUUUUGUGUUAGAGUUCUAAUUAAACACAAAGUUUCCCACCUCGAUGUUGAAUUAGAACUCCAACACAAAAUUAUCCUGUUAUCCC
rnacentral:rRNA from 1 species